CGAACUACGAGGUUUUGAUCUUACCUUUGUGAUGGUACGUAGGCAAUGUGUUUAUCCAUUCAAACAACAAAAUUGUAAAUAAUUUGUAUAUUCUUUUCUCAUCUCCCCAAUCCUGUUUGCACAAAUAUUUUCACAAAUACCAACCUACCAUACAACAUUUGUAAAAAAGGCUCCCUUAGAGUACUAAGGAUGUUUUGGGUGCUUAAAACCUUC
rnacentral:lncRNA from 1 species